CUACGGGGGGCUCCAGUGAGGAAUAUUGCACAAUGGGGGAAACCCUGAUGCAGCAACGCCGCGUGGAGGAUGACGCAUUUCGGUGUGUAAACUCCUUUUAUCAGAGAAGAAAAUGACGGUAUCUGAUGAAUAAGCUCCGGCUAACUCCGUGCCAACAGCCGCGGUAAUACGGAGGGAGCAAGCGUUAUUCGGAAUCACUGGGCGUAAAGGACGCGUAGGCGGGUUUUUAAGUCAGGUGUGAAAUCCUAUGGCUCAACCAUAGAACUGCACUUGAAACUGGGGACCUAGAGUAUGGAAGGGGCAGGUGGAAUUAGUGGUGUAGGGGUAAUAUCCGUAGAUAUCACUAGGAAUACCGAAAGCGAAGGCGACCUGCUGGGACAUUACUGACGCUGAGGCGUGAAAGCGUGGGGAGCAAACAGGAUUAGAUACCCCGGUAGUC
rnacentral:rRNA from 1 species